GAAAGAUCUCCCAUGCUCAUGGAUUGGCAGGAUUAAUUUAGUAAAAAUGGCCAUUUUACCAAAAGCAAUCUACAGAUUCAAUGCAAUCCCCAUCAAAAUACCAAUCCAAUUCUUCAAAGAGAUAGACAGAACAAUUUGCAAAUUCAUCUGGAAUAACAAAAAACCCAGGAUAGCUAAAGCUAUCCUCAACAAUAAAAGGACUUCAGGGGGAAUCACUAUCCCUGAACUCAAGCAGUAUUACAGAGCAAUAGUGAUAAAAACUGCAUGGUAUUGGUACAGAGACAGACAGAUAGUCCAAUGGAAUAGAAUUGAAGACCCAGAAAUG
rnacentral:lncRNA from 1 species